GCUAAUUUUUACACAAAUUCUGAAAUGACGGAUAUUCAUUUUAUGUAUGGCAGAGCAAAGGGCAAUGCUUCAAAAGCAGCACGCUUGUAUCAUGCAGCUUAUCCGAAUCGCCGACAGCCAAGUAGAAGAAUGUUUAGUAAAAUUCAUCAACGCAAUGGAUGGAAAGCACAUUGAACAUUUAUUGAUGGUCAGAGAGUUUGAUAUCUCGGGCCGAAAUGCAAAUGCCAUCACUGUCAUCCGCUGAAUCGUCUUCUGAGAACUUUGUGAUCUACGUUACAUAUUAAAGCUCAUGUAUGCGCGUGAUCGCGUGUGAUCGUUGCAUUGUGUAAUCCAUCGUAUGACGCAUUUGACGCGUGAAAAUAUGUAAGAAUUGUUUUACGGGACGGCGCCGUAGGAUGCUUAACACGUUGAGUGUUGUACUAAUUACAAGAAAGCUCAACUGACAAUUAAAUUACUGAAAAUAAGGCGAUUAAGUAUAACAUGAGAUCAGAGUUGGAGGUAAGGCGUAACUUGUCAUUACAUAUUAGUUUCUUUCAAUAAUAAUUUUAUUUCUUUAAAUAAGCUCUUUUUCUUAACGAAUUUAUUUUGUCUAGUUAGUUACGCUAACACAAUUACAUUUUUGGGCAAUGAUAAUGAAUACAAUACAUGGUCUUUUAAAAUAUAGCCGUUACUAUCUCUCUAUCGUCAUUUUUUACAUAUAGAACACAUAUAUAUAGGAUGGACAGCAAGGAAUAAGAAAAAAAAAGUUUUCACUUUUGAACUUAUCAAAUCAAAACUUGAUAAAAAAGCAUUUUUUUAAUGUAGACAUAAUUAAUCACGUAUAAUGAUAUGUGGUCACAUAUAGAGAGACAAAUUUUAUAUUAUUGUAUAAUUUUAUUAUAAUAAUAUAAUAACAAGAAAAUUAGAUUAAAAAUGAGAGUUGUAUGUCACGUUAAUUUUAUGAUUAUUUAUUGAUUGUUAGAGCAAAAGAAAAUGUUUGAAAUGUUUUAGAAAUGUGUUUAAUCGAUUGUGUCAUUUUGUGGAUUUAUCUUUCUAUCUCGACGUAUCUUGCAAGAGUUUUUAACAUACGUUUCCUCGCUUUUAGCGUUAUUAAAAAAAAUAUGGAUGAUACGAGUAUUCAGAAGUUAUCUUAAAACAGAUAAAAAUUAUUAUUUUUAUUGGUGGAAAACAAUUUUAUAAUAAUUUAAUGCACAAUUAUCAAAAGGAAUAUUUUUAUCCGAAACUUAACAGAAACUUAAUAAAAACUCAACAAAAUCAAGUAAAAAUCAGAAAAUCAAGUUUAGAAUUUAUAAAUUAGAAUUUAUAAAUUUUAGAAAUGUGCUUAAUCAAUUGUGUCAUUUUGUGAAUUUAUCUUUCUAUUUCAACAUAUUUGGUAAGAGUUUUUAACAUACGUUUCUUCGCUUUUAGCAUUAUUAAAAAUAAUAUAAUAUAAUAAUUAUGAUAUAUUAUAAUAUUAUAAUAUAAUAUUAUAGUAUAUUAUAUUAUAAUUAUUAUAUUAUAAUAAUAUAAUAUAUAUAAUUAUUAUAUAAUCGUUCUUUUUCCUAUUAGUUACUUCUGAAAUGAGAAUGACAAUAUCGAAUUACUUUGCCAAUUAAAUAAUGGUAACAGUAACAAGUUACUUCUUUCAAUAGAUAACAAGUAAUAAUAUAUUGCUUUGAAAAAGUAACUUUCCCAACCUUGCUUAAAAUGCAUAUGUCUCUUAUCUCCUUACAUCAACUCUACUGACAGCCAAUCAUUAAGGCCCGUAUUAAUAGAGUUAUUAUAUAGUUAGAUAGUUAAUAUAGUUAUUACUUGAAACUCUCCCUCCCCCCCUCUCUCUCUCUCUCUUCUUUCAAAAAUAAGAUACUCAGAUUUAAAUUCAAAGUAGAUGAGAGUUUUUCAAUAGAGAAAAUCAUGGUUUAGUUAAUAAAGUCACAGACGUAAAUAUCAUAUAUAUCAUAAUUCUACUGAAAAAUUAGGAUUUAGUGCUGAAAAAAUGUUUAAGAGUCUCUGCUUAAAAUAAAUAUAUAUAUUUAAUAAAAUUUAACAGAAGAAAAAAAUCUAUAUAACUGAGUCGUGUUUUGGUAAAAAAUGAUAAAAUUACAUAAAAAGAUAUUUGUAUUCAAAUCAAUAUUUAAUCGUUUAACAUAAUAUUUAAUCAGUAUGAAUAAGUAAAAAUUGGUAAUUUUUUUACAUGAGCUGAAGUGUAAGAAGUUUAAACUCCCGAUAAAAGUAAUAAAUUCAAUUAAAGUCAUAUAUCAUUCCAAUGAAAUUUUUACAUAUUUCUAUCAGUUCUUAUCAGAUUUCUUAAGCAAGGAUCUCACUUGAGACAAGUUUCAACUAUCAAAAUAUGGGCCUUAGACGCAAUCAAUUACAUUCUACACGCAACUCAAUGAUACACGGCAGCAUCGUAAUGCCGGUCACCGACGAUGAACUUCGCGGAAAUCUGAAUGUGUCCACAGUAACGGGACGAUUGUCGGACGGAAGUUCUCAGAAAGACGCUUCAGAGGAGACUUAGAUUAGUGAGCGUUUUUCAGACUUGAUGCAUCGAACGUGAAUAUUCAUGGACCGUCGAUACAUUUCUCUCGUCCUCCGCGCGAUUCAGCAGGUUCGCCCUUCUCCCUCUCUCCCUUUCUCUCUCAUUCUUCACAUUCAUCUGUAACUUAAUUAUUCUUAUAUACAUGACCCUGAAAGAGCUGUCCGUUACAGGCAUGAUACGCCGAUCGUCAACAAGAUAUCGAUACAGUCGAUAUCGAAGUAUUAAAGUGCACUUGCUCCGAUACUUCGAACUUUCUCAGUCGCGAAGCGGACUAAGACUAAGCGAAAGUGUCUCAAGUACCGUACGCAAGUUUCAGUGAAUGCGUGCGAGCUAAUGAUGCGGUACUUGGUGCGUGCGAGGAUCAAAGGGAGCUAAUCGACAAAUCAGUAGCGAAAACUCUAAUCGCUCGCGCUUCAUUCCUCCACGUUCCACUUAAAAGAUGCGCCGAAUAUGCGAUUGUUUGCGUUGCGCUCUCGACUCAACUAAAAUACAACGAAAGUGAUUGCGAGAAGCAUUACGUGAAGACCUGGGAAAAAACAUGAUUAUAUAUAAUUAUAAAAAAGCAUGUGUAUAUAUAUCUCUCCAUAUACACACUUAUAUUUUAUCUACGUACUGUACACACUGGGGUCCUGAGGACCCCAUCUAUAUUUGUAUUGUAAUUCUAUCAAAACUUGACAUAUUUUAAUUUAUUUUUUUUUAACCUAUAGAGAAUUGAUUAAGGAGCAAGCCUAUAAUGAAUAAAAGUCGACAGGAUUAAAGAGUUCCGAGAUAUACGGGUUAAAAGAGAAAAGAAACGCGAAGAAACCAAUUCGAGAAAGUUGCACUGGGAUCCCAGGGAUUCCAGUAUAUAUACGGAGAAAUAUAUAUGUGUGUGUGUGUGUGUGUGUGUGUGUGUGUGUGUGUGUGUGUGUGUGUAUAAUUAUAUAUUACAUAUAUAUUUUUUUUCUUUUUAUAUUUAUACAUGAUUCCUCUCAUAUAUGAAUUUUGUUUCUAUGUGGCCACAUAAAAUCAAAUUUAUAACUAUGUACAGAGUGUUUCAAAGUAGGCAGUCUUCUAGUAGUGUAUAGGU